rnacentral:rRNA from 1 species
UACGUAGGGUGCAAGCGUCGUCCGGAAUCACUGGGCGUAAAGGGCGCGUAGGCGGCUGGGGAAGUCGGCGGUGAAAGCCCGGAGCUCAACUCCGGGUCGGCCGUCGAGACUCCUCGGCUCGAGCUCACUAGAGGCAGAUGGAAUUCCGGGUGUAGCGGUGGAAUGCGUAGAGAUCCGGAAGAACACCGGUGGCGAAGGCGGUCUGCUGGGGUGAGGCUGACGCUGAGGCGCGACAGCGUGGGGAGCAAACAGG